rnacentral:rRNA from 1 species
UACGUAGGGUGCAAGCGUUAAUCGGAAUUACUGGGCGUAAAGCGUGCGCAGGCGGUUCUAUAAGUCAGGUGUGAAAUCCCCGAGCUCAACUUGGGAAUUGCAAUGGAUACUGGCAGGCUGGAGUAUGGUAGAGGAAGGUGGAAUUCCCGGUGUAGCAGUGAAAUGCGUAGAGAUCGGGAGGAACACCAGUGGCGAAGGCGGCCUUCUGGACCAAUACUGACGCUCAUGCACGAAAGCGUGGGGAGCAAACAGG